CGGCGCUGCUUUCCUGCAAGUCGAACGGCAGCGGGGGCUUCGGCCUGCCGGCGAGUGGCGAACGGGUGAGUAAUGCAUCGGAACGUGCCCAGUCAUGGGGGAUAACUACGCGAAAGCGUAGCUAAUACCGCAUACGCCCUGAGGGGGAAAGUGGGGGAUCUUCGGACCUCACGUGAUUGGAGCGGCCGAUGUCGGAUUAGCUAGUUGGUGAGGUAAAGGCUCACCAAGGCGACGAUCUGUAGCGGGUCUGAGAGGAUGAUCCGCCACACUGGGACUGAGACACGGCCCAGACUCCUACGGGAGGCAGCAGUGGGGAAUUUUGGACAAUGGGCGCAAGCCUGAUCCAGCCAUGCCGCGUGAGUGAAGAAGGCCUUCGGGUUGUAAAGCUCUUUCGCAAGGGAAGAAAACGUGUGGGCUAAUAUCCUGCGCGGAUGACGGUACCUUGACAAGAAGCACCGGCUAACUACGUGCCAGCAGCCGCGGUAAUACGUAGGGUGCGAGCGUUAAUCGGAAUUACUGGGCGUAAAGCGUGCGCAGGCGGUUGUGUAAGACAGGCGUGAAAUCCCCGGGCUCAACCUGGGAAUGGCGCUUGUGACUGCAAGGCUGGAGUGCGGCAGAAGGGGAUGGAAUUCCGCGUGUACCAUUGAAAUGCGUAGAUAUGCAGAGGAACACCGAUGGCGAACGCAAUCCCCUGGGCCUGCACUGACGCUCAUGCACGAAAGCGUGGGGAGCAAACAGGAUUAGAUACCCUGCUAGUCCACGCCCUAAACGAUGUCAACUGGCUUGCUGGGUCUCUUCUGACUCAGUAAUCGAAGCUAAC
rnacentral:rRNA from 1 species